AAUGAACUGUUGGUUUGUUUUACGCACUGCUCGUUCUGAAUUUCGUGAGCUUUCAAAGAGUUGUAUAACAAAAACAUAUUUGUAGCUGACAAAGACCAGAAGCUUUUUAAGGAAGAACUGCAGUAGAUGUUAUGGAACAUUGUGUCUACAAGGGAAGCGGUUUAAACUUCCUACAGUAACUUAUCAGAUUAGGUAUUGAUGAGCAAAAUGUACAACACAAAGCAAGUCUGACACUCUGUAAUGGAAAUAAAUACACAAUUCUUAGUUCAUGGAUAUUAAAGAGAAAACCAUUUUACAUUAUAGGGUGCAGAUAUUUUAAUUUGACUUUCC